UGUACGGUCGGCCUCUGCCCACGUGACCAAGAGCAAGGACCAGACGCACUGUACUGAACAGUCCUCAAGAGCAGCAGACUUGAAAUAAUCAUGCACGGCCUACAAGAACAGGUUCCCGCCUGGAAAUUAUCCUUGCAAAAUUCAAAGAAAAAAUCCACCUGUGCCGAAACUGAUUGGGAAAUCUGAGCAAUUCAACGAAAUCUCCUUUGAGGGAAGACAAUAUCAAUUAAUGCAACUCGGGUCAUCAAUAGUAAACAAAGAUGUUGAAAGAAGGAAGUUAACCACUUCAUCAUCGUCGUCACAUCUUCAUCAACCCAUCAUCAUCAUCAUCGCAGCACCAGCAGGUCUUGCAACAGAUACCGUACCAAAGAUAACCAAACAUAAUAAUCUCUGUUGGAGCAUCAAGAAUAACCAAAGGAUUCAUCAUUCAGGAACCCCGAAACGCAACUGUUUGUUUUGGAAUUCUUUGAGACAAUGAGUCAUCUUUAUUGCAUGCGUUUAAAUUCUGGAAAAAAAUAGACCUAUCUUUGAGGAGAUAUUUGUCAUUUUCGUGGUCAAAUUUAUGCACAAAGGCUGGUGUGCUUAUAUGUAAAAGAUUGGCAAUGGAUGUUUGAAAAUAAUCCAUGGUUGGCACAAAAGACUUUAUUCUAUCUAAUGAUCAAUGUUUGUAUGUUUGGACUUACUAGUAUAUGUUUAUACGUUUGAGUUUAUAUUAUUAAAGUUCCUUGGUUU